rfam:Citrus sinensis cultivar Ridge Pineapple sweet orange scaffold03964_contig_1, whole genome shotgun sequence.
GCUUUAAGUAGUGAUGAUAUGAUUUUGCAUGUAUUAUCUGGCCUAGGACCAGAUUAUAAUUCAGUAGCUACUUACAUUACUGGUCAAGUAGGAGUUGGUAAAAUGAAUGUAAAUGAAGCCUAUGCUAUGCUAUUAAC